CUGGNUCAGUAAGUCGUAACAAGGUAACCGUAACUCUAGAGUUUGAUCCUGGCUCAGGAUUAACGCUGGCGGCAUGCCUAAUACAUGCAAGUCGAACGGAGUAGCAAUACUUAGUGGCGAACGGGUGAGUAACACGUAUCUAAUCUACCAUUUAGUGGGGAAUAACUGUUGGAAACGACAGCUAAUACCGCAUAAUAUUGCUGGAUAAUUUCCAGUAAUGAAAGGAGCUUUCAAGCUCCGCUGAUUGAUGAGGAUGCGGCGCAUUAGCUAGUUGGUAGGGUAAUGGCCUACCAAGGCAAUGAUGCGUAGCCGAUCUGAGAGGAUGAACGGCCACAUUGGGACUGAGACACGGCCCAAACUUCUACGGAAGGCAGCAGUAGGGAAUUUUUCACAAUGGGCGAAAGCCUGAUGGAGCAAUGCCGCGUGACUGAUGAAGGUCUUCGGAUUGUAAAGGUCUGUUGUAAGGGAAGAAAUGGUAAAACAGGAAAUGGUUUUAUCUAUGANGGUACCUUACCAGAAAGCC
rnacentral:rRNA from 1 species